rnacentral:misc_RNA from 1 species
UGAUAAAAGUACAUGAUUGAUGGAAGAAACCGAAAGAAUUAAAAGCAGAGAAGAAGAAGAAGAAAUAUGGAGCUGGGGAGCAGGAACAGAGGGACAAUUAGGAACAGGAGAACUCCAAGAUGAACACAAACCUCAACUCAUUCAUUCUCUUUCUUCUUUUGGUCCUAUUUCUCAUAUCUCUUGUGGUGGAGCUCAUGUCAUUGCCCUUACCCCUGGUGGAAGAGUGCUAACUUGGGGGAGAGGUACUUCAGGUCAGUUGGGCCAUGGGGAGAUGGUUAACUGCUUACACCCAAAGUCAGUAGAGUAUUUGGAAGGUAUCUUCAUUACACAUGCUUCUGCUGGAUGGAAUCACUCAGGAUUUGUUUCAGAUACUGGUUACGUAUUCACUUGUGGAGAUGGUUCAUUUGGUCAGCUUGGGCAUGAGGAUUAUAUCUCAAGAUGUUCUCCUGCACAAGUGUUGCACUUCAAGGCUAGGCAUGUCGAGCAAAUUGCUUGUGGUAUGCGUCAUUCACUUGUAUUACUAAAAGGAGAUACAGAGGAUCUUAUAUACGGAUUUGGUUCCGGAAAACGUGGUCAACUUGGUAUAUCUGAUGACAAACUGAAGUCAG